CCACUGGCUGCACGUACCUAUCCAAAACGGGGUUGAGUACCCCCCCCCUCUCCCGGAUUAGGUCACUAGUGGUUGUAUUUAAUAAGCUCUUUUAUAUACAACCACUAGUGGUUUUAUCUUAUUAAUGUUCAUGUGAUAUUUAAAAAACGAGGAGGAGUAUUUUAUCGUGAGAUAGUAAACACGAGAAAAUCUUUCUUUUUUCGUUUCCCCAGAAGAUUUCAAAUGAAAGAGUUUAAUGUCCUUGCCACCUAUAGGGGCACCCUAUGAAAACAGUGACUAAAAUUCUGGUGUACAUGAAAUCAGUUUCAUCAACUUGUUUUGUUACAAGAGAAUUGAUUAAUGCAGAGAGAAGGCUUUGCGUUUCUAGUUCAGAAAUGCUAGAAAUGAAUUUCAGUUCUUCAUUUGAAAGCUAUCAAAUCAAGAACUGUUAAGAAUAUUACACCACUGCUAUUUUAGUUUUUCUUUAAAAAGACAAAAUAACAGUGAGGUAAGCGACAAUAUGAUAAACUAUCAUUAAAAUGUGUGUUGGCUGUUACUACUUGGCUCAUUUGAUUAUGCCUAUAUAUAUAAUAUAAAAAUACUGAUAAAUUGAAAAAAUCACAUAUCAUUUUUGAAUGAACAGUACUCAGUGUACUGGGUCAAAGUAGAUCUUAUGUUUAUGAUCUAUUUUCAAUCGAUAAGUCUAUUACUAUUGUAUAUUUCCAGUAUGGUACGACUGAGAUCCCAACAUCAUAUAAGUUAUCAUUCAAAAGCAAAGUCUCAAAAACAACCUUAAAUCCCCCCAAAAAUUGCUGAAUUUAAGGGUUAAUAUAAUCUUACAUGAUACCUGAAUAACAUAAAUGUGAAACCUGUCAAGUAAUGCCAAAUUCCCUUGCACCACUCUACAAAAACAAAUACAACACCCCUACCAUGUUCCUUGUGUUAAAGCCCAAUAAUGCAAGAAGACUUGUCUGAAACAUGCCAGUCUUCUUUGCCUCCAGUCCAUUUCCAUCCUCAGUUGGUUCUGAACCAUAAGAAGUUCGGUCAUACUAUUCUAAUUUGAAGUGGCUGUUGGACUGUUGACACAGCUGUACGUUGGAUAAUCGAUUUCAUGUAUAUAUGUUAAUUACUGAUUACACUACACUGAGGAUGAAGGUGAACUUGAGUCCCGGACUUGAGCUUGUACUAUAGAUAAAUUGUCACGUACUGUAUCCUGUAUUUCCUGGAUUAAUUGGAAGAAACGUUUACUAAAUCUAAAUUGUCUUCCCAUGUAGGUUCUUCACCGAUCACAGACAAUUUCCCUUCAUAGACCAAAUCAAUCCAUAACUUCAGGAGGAGCCGACGGGUGGACGGAACCGAGGGAUGACAAGUUCAAACAAGUCGUUGCUGAAGUGGUGACAAAUUUCUGUGGACGAAGUGAAGGCGCACAUCAGACGAGGUAUUUGUGAAAGAAAAGACUGUAACGAGCUCAGCUUACUAUCCAAGCAGAUGAUAAGAUGACGUGCUCUGAAAUUUGUUAACUUCCAAGCAGAUCAAGUCCAACAACACAAGGCAUCGUCCCUCGUUGCUCGCAUCGCAUUAUAUGUGAACUUUCCACCAGGCGUGGUCCUCGAUUCAAACAACACAAUAAACAAAGAAAACCUCCUUAAAGCAUUGAAUGACACACGGGGAGAUAUUGAGAAAGCGCUUGGUGUUAAAAUUCUCAAACUAACAACAUACAAGUCAGACCAUCCAACUAGACCAAUCGAGAAGACAAAGCAAAAAGGGGAUGGACUUAAUAUAUAUGUUAUCACUUAUUAUUACUUAUUAUAUUGGUGACUAUUGUUGUUUGCUGUCGAAAACCAUCAGAUUCGAGGAAGCAGACCAAUGGGUAUCGAAAUCGUGCCACGGAAUCACAAGAAGACAUUGCUAUCGGACAAGAAUCAAUUGUAUUUUAAACAACACAAUAAACAAAGAAAACCUCCUUAAAGCAUUGAAUGACACACGGGGAGAUAUUGAGAAAAAAAAAAUAAAUAAAAAAAAAAAAAAUAAAAAAUAAAAAAAAAAUAAAAUAAAAAAAAUAGAAAAAAAAUAGAAUGCGAGACAAAAACAUUGACAAUCAUGAUAUAAGAUGUUCGUCAAGGUCUUCCCGUCGUUCAACACGGGUAUCACCUUCUAAUUCCUGAAUACAAAUGCUCACUCAACAGCAGUUUCUUAAUAAUCUGGUAAUUUUUUGUACCGCAAUUUUUAGGUCUAGCUAAAGUGUUUUUUAGUACUGUCGUUUCUCUUGAUCAGUGAGAGAACUUUGAAAACUAUGCAAGAUGUCCUACACAGGUCCUCUCGACUUUUUACAAUAUUUUAGUAUUAAUAGAUCAUUAUGUGAAUCAAAGUAACUCAAUCGUCGCAUAUACAUUAGUCAAGUAUUUUUAAUAGGAUAAAAACAGAGGUUACACUGUUUAAAAUAUUUCAAACUCAAUAAAUUAGUUAUAUUUUUU